rnacentral:misc_RNA from 1 species
CACUCCCCAAAUUCCCGAUCUCGAUCUAGGGUUUCCCUCCCCAAUCCUCAUCCAUGGCGCUCGAAUGGGUGGUUCUCGGCUACGCCGCCGGCGCCGAGGCGAUCAUGGUGCUCCUCCUGACCAUGCCCGGCCUCGACGGCCUCCACCGGGGCCUCGUCGCCGUCACCCGCAGCGCGCUGAAGCCGCUGCUCUCCAUCGUCCCCUUCUGUCUCUUUCUUCUCAUGGACAUCUACUGGAAAUACGAGACCCGUCCGACCUGCGAUCAGGAGCACGCCUGCACCCCCACCGAGCACCUCCGCCACCAGAAAUCCAUCAUGAAGAGUCAGCGCAACGCGCUCCUCAUCGCCGCCGCUCUCGUCCUCUACUGGCUCUUGUUCGCCGUCACGGGGCUCGUCGUCCGGCUCGAUCAGCUCAGCCAGCGCGUCGAGAAGCUCAAGCGCCAGGACUGAUGUGCGGCGUCUUCAGGCCUGCUACUCUACCUUUGUUUCGCUAUCUUUGUCCGUGGUAGUUUGAUAUCUGGUUUUAGUAGAGUGUAUUGAAUUAUG